rnacentral:rRNA from 1 species
AGAAUGGACGCUGGCGGCGUGCUUAACACAUGCAAGUCGCACGAGGCGGGGGGGCAACCCCUCCAGUCGAGUGGCGGACGGGUGAGUAACACGUGGGUAACCUGCCCGGAUGUGGGGAAUACCUCGGGGAAACUCGAGCUAAUACCGCAUGACAUCUUCGGGACGAAAGUCCUGACGAUCAAAGCGGGGUCGCAAGAUCUCGCGCUUCCGGAUGGGCCCGCGCCCGAUUAGCUAGUUGGCGAGGUAACGGCUCACCAAGGCGACGAUCGGUAGCCGGCCUGAGAGGGUGAGUCGGCCGACACCGGAACUGAGACACGGUCCGGACUCCUACGGGAGGCAGCAGUGGGAAUCUUGCGCAAUGGGACGAAAGCCUGACGCAGCAACGCCGCGUGGAGGAUGAAGGCCCGUUGGUUAGUAAACUCCUGUCGGCGUGGAAGUAAGUCGUUCGGAGCGUAACGUACCCCGGUACGUU